AUCCCACAAUCCUGCUGCUGUGUGGCGGCCAGCCUGGCGGGCACGCUGGAGGAAGAGGUGUUAUCCCUGUCACUUGUUUUGUCACCGAUGACAUGGAUGCAUUAAAGUGCUACAGGCAUUCCGAAAUACUUAGAUUUCAGUGCAUCUUCCUUUCUACUUCUUUUUACUUUAAUUAAACUCCUGGAUGCCAGCACAUAUACCACAGACAGACGCUUGUGAGCGAGACAGAGACAAAAUGAGAAACACCAAAAAUGCUUCAGAAUAAAAACUUUUUGAAAAAAAAAUUUGAAGAAACUAUUUACCCCUUUUUGAAAAAAAAAUCCUUUGUGGAGAUCGGUCCUUGGUGGAGUGACAGCAGCACGGUACGGAAUCCAUAAACAUGGAGAUGAGAAAGACUUACCUGUUUUAGUAGCAGACUUUAAACUGAUUAUGGAAAUUAUAUCAAUGUGCUUUUCUCUAUAAUUUUAUAAGCACUUAGGGAAAUCUGUGAAGAUUUUCUAGACCAUGAGAAUCCAAAAGAGGCAAAACCAGUAAAAAUGCGGGGCACACAGCAGUCCAGUAUCCAACACACAUUAAGGGUAAUCUUACCAAAACUUCUUAUUACAAACAUGUUGUCAUUUUGAUUAGAAUAAUUAUGAAAUGCUGAUAUAAUUGGUUAUUGAUCAAAAAAAUUGUUUAAAUACCUACCUUGUUCCAGUAACUAAAGGAGCUAAACAAGUUGAUGUAUAUGCUCACCUAAACUUUGUCAAAUUUCAGACAUCCCCUAUAAAAUCAAAAGCUAUGUGUAAGUGCUGUACACAGAUUUAGUUACAUUGUUUUGGCUUUUUACUCUUAGCUGCCUUCCAGAGUGAUGCUCUGGAACAUUACUCAGGUCUCAAAAUGGAAAUACAAUUUUCAGGACUGUUAUUUAAUCUCUUUAUAGUUUCAACAGUUUGCUUCCCAUGUGCUUACUUCCUUGGUUUGGCAUCUGUUCAGUUCCUAAUUCAAGCAUGGAAAUAAAUGUGCCAAGAGUAAAUUGAAAACAUUUGAUAACACUUAGACAUCUUUAUGCUGGUUUUUGUCUGCAAAUUAGCUAAAUGUAAUUUUUGCUGCUAUUCAUUUUUUGUCUUACUAUUCAUUAAAAAUAAAUUUAUUCACUUUUGGAAAUGGAGGUGAAAACUAGCCUUAUGUGCACAGAAUGUGCUUACAAAGGUAGUUUCACCAUGUAAAAGUGUGAUUUAUUUUAGAAAAGCCUCAUUUUCCAUAGUCAGCGUUUUCAGAACAACCAGUGGCAUAUCCAAAUUCUUCUGUAAUUACCACUCAAACAAUUGAACUAAAUGAGACAGUUGGGACUAACUUGGUUCGUAACCGGGAGCUGCUGACAGUGUGACAAGCCUUGCUGCAGGGAGGGGAAGAAUUUCCACCCUGCCUUGUCCUUCGCAAGUGUCCCCACACCUAAGCAACGUGAAUGUGCAGCCCAGCAUCUUCAAUUAAACAGAAGCAGCUGAUGUCUCUUUUCUGAUCGCUGCGGGGUCAGUGGAUUAGACAUUUGGAAGAGGGGCAGAGCAGACAGUUAUGUGGACAACUCAGAGUGAACCAGCUGAACAGACAGGAGAGGACAGCUGCUGUCGAGGACAGGUAGCACCAAGGGACACAGUGGCAAUAUGGCAAGUUUCACAAUUGUAAUCUGAAGGCCACAGAGCGAGCGACCGGAGUACAAAUAUCCUGAGAGAUCUGUCUUUGUCCAAGCUAAAUCCCAGAUUCUUUUCACCCGUGCAGUCCAGGGGAAGAAUCCCUUGGUUGAGAAGAAAAUUGGCAGCUAUCAACACUGUUGAGGGAAUAUUUUGAGCUGCGCAUAAUGUUUGUUGGAAGACCAAAUAAGAGAGUUUCAAAUCUGUUGGAUCAGAACGAAUAAAACCCAUUGAUGUUAAGAGCAAGGACAAAGAAACUAGAGGCAAACCCACUGUCCUGUCUGCUAGUGCUGGGACGUGGUAUCCGUGCUCAGGGUUCACAUCGAUGGCCAAAGAGGAUGGAAUCACAGACCUGGAGCUCCGUCUCAACGGCAGGGACGCAGAGGACCCACACUGGGAGUUGUUCUGCCUCUACAAGGGGCUGCAGAGGCAGCAGCUCUACAGAGCAGUGGCAUCGAUGAUCCUGGGAAACAAUUAAUUCAAGGCAAACUGCUGCAUGUAAAAACACAUUUGCCAUAAUGUGCUUGGAUUUUAUCAGAUGUAUCAACAUAACUAGAAGAUAAUUGUACCUGAAGUUUCUAGACCAUGGCAUUAGGAAAGCUCACAGAGACUGCAGGCUGGGUUUAAGCAGAAGACACUGUACGUACUUCUUAUUAGAACAUAUUUACAUUAAAUAAGGUCACCCAAAAAUGUUUAAAUAUACGUACUGGAUGGCAGUUAAGGGCUUUGGGAUCCAUUGUGAUGGAAUGAAUAACAUGAGAGCAAAUCUAACGCAUCACUAUCAGCCUUGGAUCACUGUCUUGAACGCGGGAGAUAACCUGUCUCCUACCAGCCCGUUUACAUAAAAUCGCAGUUGUACCGUAUGUUGUUACUUGCGCAGUCUUGCCCUGGCUUGGAGGCAGGAAUGCUGCGUGUACGUGAUGGGUAGCCCUGAAUUGCAGUAAAUGUGUAGAAAGGAUUUGUCAUCUCACCACCGCAGACUCUGGCCCAGAGGCUGCUCUGAGUGAGUUCCCUCGUGCUGGUCGCUUCCGACGCUCAGAGGAGGAGAAACAGAUGGAAAAAUCCUUCACACAAACUGGAUCUUAAUCGCUGAAAGAAGAGACAUUGAAAAAUGCUGGCUUGAUACAUCCACAUAAAUACCAUUGAGAUAAAGAUUGAUUCCAGUCAGCCUUCUGAAUCGUGUCACUGAAGUGUGCAGCAAGUUUGCAAGAAGUUCCAUACCAUGGUGUUCUCUCCAGCAUCACUAAACUUGUGUUCAUUUGCUGUCUGAGGACACAGAAGGGGAAGGAGCUGCUCAGCAACACUUUUCGGAACUGUUAGUUGUCCCACUAGUCAUAAAGUAUACUAAAGGUUGAUUUACAUUAACAAAAUAAUUACUUGUAUUGCUUCCUCCUUAUCAGUGGAUUACAUCUCAGCAGACGUUUAGAUAAAUAUGUAUUCACUAAAUGGCAACGGUAUCAUAAAGUGCCACUGUUCAGGUGUCACUUUGAGGUCUCAAAAUCUACAUGUGACAACAGAUUGCUUUAUAAACUCGUCAUUUUUAAUUUCUCCACCUUUCCCACCUACCCCAGGACAUUUCAGGGAUCAGUUUAUCCUUAUUAGGUCCCACCACCAAUUUUUCUUUCACCCUGGGGAGUAGUCUUUCCCGGGGCCUGGCCAGGCUGGUACACAAUUGCACGUUUUGGAGAAACUCAAACCCCACCAAUUUGUUUAAUAGAAACGUCUUCCUUGUGCUGCAUUCCUGUUACCCAGCCACACCUCUUCUGCCCUUCUGAGGAUCUUACAAAACUGGGAACCUGCUUAACAAGUUCACUUCUUAUUACCCACAGGCAAAGACAGUUUCCUCCUUGUACUCGCUGCAGUUCAGCUCUUCCCACCUCUCUCCUCCUGAGCUACGUCCUCAUUCCUCCCGACUCCACCACACUCGUUUCUUACCACACACCAAGCGGAGACCAUGGUAUUUUAUGAACAUGUUUUGGAUCAGGUUGUCUAUCCAGGCAAUUUGCUUCACCUUUGAAGUGCUCACAAAUUACUCCCCACAGAUCUCGUGACCUGAGUUGUGAGUCAUUUUUUUAAUUGACUUUUAUAAAAACCGACGUACAAGUGCUUUUUCAAAAAAGCCUGAUGGUACGGACUGUUCCCAUCAGUGGGAAAUGUAACCCUAGAUUCCUUCCUGGAGUUCACGGUGAUAGCUGUUUUAGUUUUUAAUUGUGUCUAAUGAAAUACAUAUCAGAAGCUACAUUACAACUUUUUAACAAAAUUGCCAGCCUUUCACUGGUGCUUUCAGCUGUGUUGAGAUAUGAGUAGCGUGUGGGAUUAGACUGUACCAGACCCAACCUUCUUGCACUGGCAGCAAGGCAAUUGUGUUCAGUGCAUGCCAGAGUGAAAUCCUAAAGACACACAUGUACUGGGCAGCGCUGAUAAAAUGUCUAAGUGAUAUUACAGCUUAUGCAGUGAAUGGUGAAACUAUUUUGGAGAUGCCACGAGUAAAAGGAGAGCGGCUACAGCCAAUGGACGACAGAGAGCUUGCGUGUUUCAAGGCCAGAAUGCAGCAGGUGGAGUUUAUACUGGGGUGGAACCACACACCAGACAUCUUCUGGUGAAGGGUGAGCAGAGUUGGUAAGCAGAAAAGCUCAGCAUGUUCUUUGAUAUUCCAUGUUUUAACAAUGGGAUCCUCUUUGAACCAAGUUCAGCUCUCCGUUUGACUUGACAGCCAAGCUCUCCAUGGGAUUUUGGCCCUGUCUACCCAAAAGAUCAAUUUUCUUACGUGCCUGUGAUCUUUUCCACUAAGGACUGCAACUCUGUGCACCAACGUGGGAACUGUAGAUGGGGGAGACAACUUCCACUUCACUAGCUGAGAUCGGUGGAGCUCAGCCGCGCUGCCAAAGACAGAGCUAACCACCCUCCUUACGAGCGCCCCAGAACUGCAAACAUUUACCCGCAUGCUUAACUCAGCGGAUGAAUGGCCUCAUUGAGCUUGCUAUGGCUGUUUACGUGCAGAAGUUACUCACGUAACUGUUUGCAGGACGUAAGCCAAAAUGCAAAACUUAGUUUCUUGCCUUGGCUUCACCACAGUAAGCUCUUCAUACGGACACGCUGUAUUUUCAGAGGCCAGAGCCAAGUGGUUAAAGAAAUCAACUGUUGCAGCAACAACGACUUAGAUCAAAACAGAAGCUGUUUUCAGCAUGCCAGGGUUAUGCCGCAGGCAAGAACUUUACAGUGAGGAGCUGCCAGUGCUGCAGGCAAAUCCCAGUUGAGUCGGAAGGCGGCAGCUGGGACUGGCCAUUGCCCAAAGCUGUGCUGACCUGGCUGGCUACCAGGGCUCCGCCUGCGCCCGGCGCACGCUCACGGACGUUCAUGUCACCCAGCUGUAUUGGAGCAUUCACUACCAAGUCACACCUAUGGCAGCAGCGGCAACAGUAAAUGCCCAAGUAACAGAGUUCAAGCAUGGCCUCUUUGGCACCGCUUUUUGUGCUUGGAGGUAAAAAGAUGCUCAGAAAGCAAGAAAAGGCUCGGAAUCAAAAGAAGCAGCAUUCCCUGGAACCUGCAGCUGGGCGAGGCUACUUCUGCAGUCUGGCACAAGGGACACGGCAGAGCAGUCUAUUAAAAUGCAGCUGCAGUUGCAUCGGGCGCACUAGUGAUUUCACGGUACGUACAGACACGUACUGAUCUCACAUUCAAUGUCAAGCACAGCUUUUAAGGCCUUCAGACUGAAUUACAGCUCUGGAACCCUGACAGUGCUCACCACCUGACUUUGAGAACAGCCAUGCUCUUGUUUCCAGCCUGUACCUGCUGAGAACCCUAUAAUGAAGGGAAUUUACUUCUAUACAGCUUAUUAGAAAGUUUCAGCUUAUGCCAUCAGCCCUCAGACAGUAAAUCUCGUCUUUAAGCCUGUAUACAAUCAAUGUCGUGUCAUGUUUAUCCACUCCGAUUCACAUUAGCCUUCAUUUCAGUCCGAGCCAACUUGGCUAAUGCUGCUCCCCAGCUGUGUAUGCAUCAAGAUAACAGCUGCAAUGAAUAUGUGUACAAAAUUGCACAUUGUUUGCAUGUUUUUGACAGCAAAGAUUAUGAUAAACCUUUGAGAAAGAGUGAGCCGAAGCUUCCAUAGACGUAUCUUAACGGUGACAUCGCAGACGAGGCUCAGAGGUGUUUUGUUGUUCAGCCGAGAGUGGGGGUGCAGCGGCUUUGAGUGAGAGGAUUUUUCUUUAUCGAGGUUUGGGAGACUUUCGCUGCAGGACUGUACAGGUGCCGCACAGUUCAUCCUUAAAGAAAGGGUAGUAAACUGUCUUAACCCUUCACACGCACAGCUUGAAGGGAUAACAAAGAAAAUGAGCUUUGCACAGAAACAAGGACAGGUGAGGGGUCCUCCUGGAGAAGCUGAAAUGCCUCUGAUUCAGCACCGCAAAUUCUCCUCUACUGCCCUCCCGUAACUAAAGGGAAUCUGUAAGUGCACUGUUUUCUCCCACUGAUUUACCUCUUUCACAUCUCACCUUUCUGCCAUCAAAUCCAUGCAUUUUUUGGUCUUUUCUCCUCGGGUUGUUCUGCUUGCCCUCAAUUCCAUCCUAACCUUAAUCUCCAUCUUGCUGUUGUCUUUUGCUCUUGCCCUUAAAGCUCUUCUUUUCCCUCCCAGGGCACUCUCUGGUGUCUGUGUGGAAGCGUGUGUGGGGCUGAAUGUGGUGCUUGAGCUUUUUGCCUCCCAAAACAUUUAGCAUUUGUUUUAAUUUUCACCUCCAUGCUCACUUCUUGUGUUCAUCUCCUGAAAUUUCUUUCUGGGCUAUGUCCAAUCUGGCUUCUCUCUCAAACCAUUUUCCAAAGGCUUUUUGAUUUCAGACACAUCAAAUGCAGGAUCCUUUUCCUCCUCACACUGUCCUGAAAACUCUUCUUCCUGUGGCUCAUGCUUUUCCUGACUUCUUCCCCAUCUUUUUAACCCUUUCAGUGUCCUCCAGGAGGCUCCUCCCCCAAGUCUUUUAGCAGCGUGGGCACUCUGAGUAGCCCCCAACAAACCCUAAUAUCACAUAGGUGUGCUCUUAUAAUCCAGAUUUGCCUCCUGCACAAAAAAAGCUGUUACACAAUUUCUUCUCUCGUUUUGUAGACACCUAGCCAUCAGCUGAAGCUCCUUUUGGCUUAAUCAGACCUUUGCUCCUCUGUUUUCCUUCUUCUACCCACUUUUCUCAUCAUUGUGCCUGCUGCCACCAUCCCAACUGUCACUGAUGCCUAUUCCCUUCCACCUGGACUUCUCUCCAGGUGCUCUCAUUUAGGCUCAUCCGAACAUGUAAGAACUUAUCUUCCCUGAGUUCUUGUCCAUCUCACAUCUCCUUUCACCUUCACAAAUAAAAUGUCUUGCUUAUACCCGUGAGAGAACAGCUGCCCUCCAGACUUUUGCUAAGUGCAUCAUUUAUACUCCUGUUACCUCUCGCUCUGCUGUUUUCUGUCACACUUAACACAACUACUUGUUUUCAGCUUUGGUGUCCUCCACACCCUUACUUUUGCCUUUGUGCAGUCCCAAGAGAUCAGCUUUUGCUUCACUGACCCAUCACGCCAGCCUUCACGGUCCUCUCUGAGUUUUAAGGCCAACUUUAUUAUUUCUUCCAUGUUGUCCCUCAAGUCUGCAAGUUUCCUUCAAACCUUCCAAAGCGACUUCACUCGUAAGAAUUAUCCUCGACUGAGAUAAUAACACAAUCUUGUUUAGAUUGCAUGUGUCAUUUUUGUUUCCUAUGACAGAGUGCAAUUGCAGGUUCCUUGCACUGUCCGUGACUCGGGGGGGGGACCCACAGCCUUUUUGCUGUGUGCAGCCUCUGGGACAACGGCUCCUGCUCAGAAACCCGACAGAGGCUUCAGUGCGGUCCCAUAACCCAGGGUGUAACCACCACCACCUGCAAGCACCCCGCACACUUUCUAGGCCCUACAUGAAGAGGGCAAGCAUAAAGAACAGGAACACAACUGAGGGACAAGUAUGUUUAGAGAGAAGAUAUGCCGAGGAGUGAUUAGCACAAAAGCAACCUCAGCCUGAGGAAAUUAAUAACUGACUUAUGCAGGGGUUAGGGACAGUUGAAGCAAGCCCGGCCACCAACACAGAGGUCAAAAACCUGUUUUCCUUGAAGCAAUGGGCUCCGAAGCCCUUUGCUGGCCAAGGCAAGGUGCGUUACCCAGGAGGAAGAGUCACGCUCUCAGUUCAGAAGUGCCAAGUUUGGACUGAAGGUGUAUUCCUCACCCAUAUGCCAAACAAUUAUCUUGACAUUGCUAAAGUAAAUUUAAAUACAGUCCUGUCCCCUAGUGCAGGUCUGCUGGUUUCUAAACACCCAGCCCUCCUCCGGCGUACUGCCCUGCUCGCGCUUGACCUUCCUGCCCAGCGCUGCAUUACUGAUUUACUAGUAAGGGCAGAGAAACUGCUCUUUAGUGCAGCUAAAUAAGAAAAACUGUUUUUCCAGACAUACUUGAUGUCGUAUGAGAGAUGAGAAACAGCAGGCCGUCACCUAACUUAAGUUAAAUCAGCCACAUUUGAUGCCAGCCAAGAGAGACGCGUGUUCAAAACAAAAACAGUUGCUUUAUGAAACCACGCAUUGAUCGGCUGCCUUCCUGUCUAGGAUUCAUAGGCAACUUCUUGGCCUACAAGCACCUGCAAGGCUGAAGAAAUUAACUUUUAGGUAACCUGAUGCCCUGGAAAAACAUGAAGAUAAGAAAAAAAAAAAAGUCACUUGACAGUCAUUUUAGGUAUUUACACUUUGAACUUAAACUUUGUUUAGAAGUAGGCGCUCUGCUGUCUCCAGUUUAGAGCUGCAUAGGUGAGAAAUAACGGCUGGGGGGGAAAUUAAUAAAAUAAAUGCUGUUAGGAUACAGAGUUUCAAUCUUCUAUUUAGCUUGUUUCAGAGUAUUUCUCCAUUGACUUGGUGUUCUAUUAUGCACAAAAUAUGCUAUAUUCUCACCACAACCUAAACGUCAAACCCGCAAAAGUCCGAGUCGUGCUCCCCUACCAAUUACAGCCUGGUGAGCAGCCUGUGAGGGCAGCGGAAGGAUCCCACGGGGGGCUGUUUGCUUUGGGAAAAGUCUGCAAAGUAAGAUUUGAGCAGAGGAAAGCACUUGCACUUUUGAAUUUGCUCUGUUCGUACCCAUCGUAUCAGGUAUUACAUUUGCCUAAACAAGAGUUACUAACCUGGCCAGCAGGACACGGUACCAAGAAGGUUUAGUCAUAAGCAACCAGGUGGCUAAAAGGAAGGGAACAUGCAAAUGGAGAUGCAAGAUUUAGUCAAAAUAAGACUUGAGACAGCAAAACACCAAACAGCUAACAUCAAUGCAACUACUAGAAGAGAGGUACCAUUCUCAUGGUAGUUGCAGAAAACAAGUGAAUCAGAAGAAAAUGCUGAGUCAGGAGAGAAGGAGGAGGAACAGAGCUGGGAGCGCCCAUGGAAGCAGCAGCAGCACCGAGGCAGGGGCAGCUGCUGGCAGAAUCGCAUCCACAGCGGCACAAACUGAAUCUCUGCCCGUGUUACCAGCCUCUGGGACAAGGUGACAGGGCUGCUUUGCUUCACAAGCUCCUCUUAACCGGGUAAAUCAGGUUAAAACUGAUCUUUAGCACCCCUUGUGUUCCCUCCUGAGCACAGCUCCUGGGCAGCGGUCCUGGCUUUCUGUCCUUCCCACUCAGAAGCGUCAUCCAGCUGCUCGGAGCAGAUCUCAGAGAUACUCUUCUUCCUUUUCCACCCCGACCACUGCUCCCGCUGCCUUUGCGACACGUAAGCCCUCUCACUCCAGUGCUCUGAAGGCCAGGAAGUCAGUUACUAAACUCAAAUUACCUUUUCAAAGUUCUUUAUUCUUUUAUUCCCCCGCUGUAAGUACAAAUCAGCACAGACAAAAAUAACAAAAAAGCCUCUAUGCCUGGGUCAUUAUACCUUCGGAUAUUCUUGCCAGUGUUUGCAGGCUUUUCUUCGCCCAGCUGAGCUGCCAAAUCAGACGGGGAGAAACACGCUCUUGUUUGCAGCACGCUCGGUGCGGUCCAAGGCUUAUCACCUGCUUAACGCUGACAAUCCAUUCCCUCCUUCCAGCCAGGAAGGCUGAGGCUUUGCUCUCAUUUCUUCCGUGAUCGAGCAGUGAAAAGAAUAAUUUUCAGACUGCGAAUAAUAAUAAUAAAGAAAAAGCAACUUUUAUAUUAUUUUUUCCCCUGGAUGCCAUUCAUGAUCUUCACCUUUUAC